rnacentral:rRNA from 1 species
GAUGAACGCUAGCGGGAGGCUUAAUACAUGCAAGUCGAGGGGUAACAGGGGCUUCGGCCCGCUGACGACCGGCGCACGGGUGAGUAACGCGUACGCAACUUACCUCCAAGCGAGGGAUAGCCCUGGGAAACUGGGAUUAAUACCUCAUGUGAUUAUGAUGCCGCAUGGUGUUAUAAUUAAAGUUCAGGCGCUUGGAGAUGGGCGUGCGUCCUAUUAGCUAGUUGGUGAGGUAACGGCUCACCAAGGCGACGAUAGGGUAGGGGGCGUGAGAGCGUCGGCCCCCCACGACGGGUACUGAGACACGGACCCGACUCCGUACGGGAGGCAGCAGUAAGGAAUA